ensembl:ribozyme
AGUGACUUCCUAAAGCCAUAGUAGAAGUGCUCAUGGCGCAGCUCCGUCAGAUUCCAACGAAUCUGCGAAUUCUGCU